CCUUGUACACACCGCCCGUCAAGCCAUGGAAGCUGGGGGUACCCGAAACCGGGUGUGCUAACCCCGACGCAAGUCGGGGAGGCAGCCGACUAAGGUAAAACCAGUGACUGGGGCU
rnacentral:rRNA from 1 species